AGAGUUUGAUCAUGGCUCAGAUUGAACGCUGGCGGCAUGCCUAACACAUGCAAGUCGAACGGUAACAGCGGGAGCUUGCUCCCGGCUGACGAGUGGCGGACGGGUGAGUAACACGUAGGAACCUACCCAGAAGUGGGGGAUAACCCGGGGAAACUCGGGCUAAUACCGCAUAAUCUCUACGGAGCAAAGGGGGCCUCUGCCUUUGGCAUGCUCUCGCUUCUGGAUGGGCCUGCGGCGGAUCAGCUAGUUGGUAGGGUAAUGGCCUACCAAGGCGAUGACCCGUAGCUGGUCUGAGAGGACGGCCAGCCACACUGGGACUGAGACACGGCCCAGACUCCUACGGGAGGCAGCAGUGGGGAAUAUUGGACAAUGGGGGAAACCCUGAUCCAGCAAUGCCGCGUGCGUGAAGAAGGCCUGCGGGUUGUAAAGCGCUUUCGGCAGGGAAGAAAGCUUCGAGGCUAAUACCCUUGAGGCUUGACGUUACCUGCAGAAGAAGCACCGGCUAACUCUGUGCCAGCAGCCGCGGUAAUACAGAGGGUGCAAGCGUUAAUCGGAGUUACUGGGCGUAAAGCGUGUGUAGGCGGAAACCUAAGUCGGGUGUGAAAGCCCUGGGCUCAACCUAGGAAUUGCAUCCGAUACUGGGUUUCUAGAGUAUGGUAGAGGGAAGCGGAAUUUCCGGUGUAGCGGUGAAAUGCGUAGAUAUCGGGAAAGAACACCAGUGGCGAAAGCGGCUUCCUGGACCAAUACUGACGCUGAGACACGAAAGCGUGGGGGAGCAAACAGGAUUAGA
rnacentral:rRNA from 1 species